rnacentral:rRNA from 1 species
UACGUAGGGGGCAAGCGUUGUCCGGAUUUAUUGGGCGUAAAGAGCGUGUAGGCGGCCAGGUAGGUCUGCUGUGAAAACUCGAGCUCAACCUCGAGACGCCGGUGGAAACUGCAAAGCUAGAGUCCGGAAGAGGAGAGUGGAAUUCCUGGUGUAGCGGUGAAAUGCGCAGAUAUCAGGAAGAACACCCGUGGCGAAGGCGGGUCUCUGGGCAGUAACUGACGCUGAGGAGCGAAAGCGUGGGGAGCGAACAGG